AUCCAACUGACGAGUCCCAAAUAGGACGAAACGUGCGUCUUGGAU
rfam:Schistosoma mansoni strain Puerto Rico chromosome 4, complete genome